CGGGAAGAGCUCAGUUUGGAAUUUGGGUCCCUGGCUCAGAGUUGUAGUCUUGUGAUGCGAUACCAGCGGGGGUGUGGAUGUAGGCCUUCUGGAGGGAAGUACGCUCAAGGGUGAGAGUCCCGUCUGUCAUCUGUGGUCCUCUGUGCACAGUUCGUCCUCGCCGAGUCACGCUCCUUGAAAGUGGAGCGCAAAGGUGGUGGUAAACUUCAUCUCAAGCUAAAGACAGGUGUGAGCCCGAUAGGAAACAAGUACCAUGAGGGAAAGGUGAAAAGGACUUUGGAAAGAGAGUUUAAAGUGCCUGAAAUUGCUGAGAAGGAAGUGAAUGGAGCUAGUGAUUCUAGGGUUGAAUCUUCUUGCGUGUUCCUGUGACCGCGUUGCUGCAGCAAUGCAAAGGCUGCAGUGCUGGUGAGCAUCAAGGGCGCAGUGUCUUCGGCCCUGUCUGCCUGUGCCAGUUUGCUGGGAGGGAAGACUGUGGGGGUAUGGUGGUUUGUCUCUGGGCGGAUGAAAGUGCCCUGUGGAG
rnacentral:rRNA from 1 species